UACGGGGGGGGCAAGCGUUGUUCGGAAUUACUGGGCGUAAAGGGCGCGUAGGCGGCCUGCUAAGUCGGACGUGAAAUCCCUCGGCUCAACCGGGGAACUGCGUCCGAUACUGGUGGGCUCGAAUCCGGGAGAGGGAUGUGGAAUUCCAGGUGUAGCGGUGAAAUGCGUAGAUAUCUGGAGGAAUACCGGUGGCGAAGGCGGCAUCCUGGACCGGCAUUGACGCUGAGGAGCGAAAGCUAGGGGAGCAAACGGG
rnacentral:rRNA from 1 species